UUAUGUUGAAAUCAAAUCAGGUGCGUAAUAAGAAACCCAAAAAUCAGCGAACUACGAAAGCCGAAAAACAAAAAUGUCAAUGCCACAUGGUUGUAUGCUAGGCUGUGUGUGACACACGGCUAUGUGCUGGACCAUAUGUGACACACGGUCUGGGUUAUUUUGGGUCGUGUGGGCAUAAAAUUUUAGAAUUUUCCCUAGGGUCGUACAUGAACUCUCGAUCAACCGGAGGCCUUCCAUAAGGGCGGUAUGUGAG
rnacentral:lncRNA from 1 species